UACGUAGGUGGCAAGCGUUGUCCGGAUUUACUGGGCGUAAAGAGCGCGCAGGCGGUCGUUCAAGUCGCGUGUGAAAGCCCCCGGCUCAACUGGGGAGGGUCACGCGAUACUGAUCGACUCGAAGGCAGGAGAGGGUAGUGGAAUUCCCGGUGUAGUGGUGAAAUGCGUAGAUAUCGGGAGGAACACCAGUGGCGAAAGCGGCUUCCUGGACCAGAACUGACGAUCAGGCACGAAAGCGUGGGGAGCAAACAGG
rnacentral:rRNA from 1 species